ensembl:lncRNA
GUAGACUAAUGUGGGGCUCAGAAUUCUGUCUUGUGUGAGCCCCUCUGCAACAUAAUUAUGCUUCAACGGGUGGGUUGCUCACCCAUCGGCAAUGCAAGCCCAUCCUCCUUCCUGUCGACCUGUGGGUCCUUUGUGUCUUUAGAUACGGAAGAUGUUUUUAGUGCUUUCCAGGCUUUUUCACAGAUGGUUUUUCUGCAGAUAGUUGUAAUUUCAGGGUGCUCCUGAGAGUAGGUGAACUCAGGGUCUUUCUGCUCCACCGUCUUGGCCAAUGCUCCCAUACUGACAGUUUUAAAUUGGCUGCGGUGGGUGUGUCAUGUCAUCGAAAAUGACAAACAUUACAAACCAUGGCUUGAUUUACUGUAUUGUUGAGUAUCUAGAUUCAAGAAAAGCGACUGAGAAUAUUUUACAUAAAAAAUAGAAAAUAAACUUUAAAAUGUUCAGGGAGUUAUUGGUGGGUCAGCAGGUUAAGAACCCCGCUAGUAUCCAUGAGGACACGGGUUCCAUCCCUGGCCUCACUCAGUGGGUUAAGGAUCCGGCAUUGCCGUGAGCUGUGGUGUAGGUCCCAGAUGCAGCUCGGAUUCCGUGUUGCUGUGGCUGUGGUGAAGGCUGGCAGCUGUAGCUCCAAUUAGAUCCCCCACCCAGAAACUUCCAUGUGCUGGGGGUACAGCCCUAAAAAUCAAAACAAAAUUUAGAAACUUUAACAACUUCAUGAAACAUCAGUGAAAGGCAACUAAAACUAUAGUGAGGAUAAUGCUAUAAAAUUAUUUAAGGAGUUCCCAUUGUGGCCCAGCGGUUAACAAACCCAAAUAGCGUCUACAGGGAUGCAGGUUCGAUCCCUGGCCUCACUCAGUUGGGUUAAGGAUCUGUUGUUGCCGUGAGCUAUGUCCACAGCAACACAGAUCCAAGCUGCACCUGCGACCUACACUGCAGCUCAUGGCAACACUGGAUCCUUAACCCACAGAGCUGGGCCAGGGAUACUAGUCGGAUUCGUUAAGCACUGCGCCACAACGGGAACUCCCUUAAUGAAUCUUAAAGACAGUGCAUGUGGGUAGCCCGGGGGGAAGAAGGAGUUAACACUCUAUGACUUCAAUCAUAAAACUCUAGACAGUGCAGCCUUAUUUCUACUGUAAAGGAAACUAAAUCUGCGGCUGACUAGAGGGGAGAAGAAAGGAGAUUAUAAAGUCUACAAAGUAUCCAAAAUAUACAAACAGCUCCCAUAACUCAGUAUCAAACAAAAACCAAUCAAAAAAUGGGCAGAAGACCUAAAGAGACAUUUCUCCAAGGUAGACAGACAGAUGGCCAGCAGGCACAUGAAAAGAUGCUCAGGAUUACUAAUUAUGCUCCAAAUCAAAACUACCCCUCUCCAGUCAGCAUGGCCAUCAUCAAAAGUCUACAUACAGUAAUUGCCAGAGAAGGUGCGGAGAAAAGGAAAGUCCAGCCACUAUGGAAAACAGUAUGGAAAAGACAUACCGUGUCCACAGUGGCACUCUUUACAAUUCCCGAGACAUGGACGCAUCUGUGGUCCAUUAACAGAUGCACGGGUGAGGAAGAGGUGAUGUGUAUACAUACAUGUAUACGCCAUAGAGUGUGUAUAUACUUAAUAUCCACACACACACACACACACACACACACGUGUGUGUAUUCAAUAGACGACAACUCCACCAGAGAAAGUCAUGAAAUACAGCCACCUGCAGCAUCAUGGAUGGACCCAGAAAAUAUACUAGGUGAGGUGGGUCAAAAAAAGACAAGUGUGUGCUGUGUAUUAUACGUGGAGUCUUAAAAAUAACAGCAUGUGGAGUUCCCAUCGUGGCGCAGUGGGUAACGAAUCCGACUAGGAACCAUGAGGUUGCGGGUUUGGUCCCUGCCCUUGCUCAGUGGGUUAACAAUCUGGCGUUGCCGUGAGCUGUGGUGUAGGUUGCAGACGCGGCUCGGAUCCCGCAUUGCUGUGGCUCUGGCGUAGGCUGGCGGCUACAGCUCCGAUUCGACCCCUAGCCUGGGAACCUCCAUAUGCCGCGGGAGCGGCCCAAGAAAUAGCAAAAAGACAACAACAACAAAAAUAACAGCAUGUGAAUCCACUUACAGAACAGAAUCACUCUCAGACACGGAAACAAACUUGUGGUUACCACAGGGGAAGGGAGAGAAGGGGAAACAGGAGUGCGGAUAACCAACUACUAACUUGAUAAAGGUUUGCUGCACAGCGCAGCAACUAUAUUCAGUAUCUUGUAAUAACCUGCAAUGGAACAAAAUCAAAAAUAUGGAAUCACCUUGCAGUUAUACAGUCACCUGUAUACCUAAAACUAACACGAUACUGGAAAUCAGCCAUCUUUCAGUGAUUAAAAAUAAACGCAAGGUAGACAUGGGGUCAUGAAGAGAUUCGUUGUGUGAUCCAGACUUCAUGAGUUUAUGUAAAUGUCGGAACCUACCACACUAAUGUUCACUGCACGUCAUUUAUACCUUCUCGAAGCUUUAAAACCUGGAAUUCCUUAUUUUUCCUGGAAAUGAGAUUUGGUGACACUAAUGCUGACAUACCCUUCUCUCUCCAGUCAGGGCCUCCCUCUCGCCUCAGGGGCAGCAAGUCCUGGGGAGCAGCGGAGGCUGUUCCCAGCUGUGCCAUGUAAAUGCAGGCCGGACUAAGCUCUCCCUCCUUCUCCUGCACACCUCCUGUAAAGCACUGGUCCUGAGGGGAAGAGCCAGAGCCAGACAGGCUGCAGUGACCCACAGUGUCUUUGGCUGAUGUCCACUGAGGAGGCCUGCAGUGACCCAGGACACAGGCCUGAGGACUGUGAGAAGUUCUGUACCUGCUCAUCCUUCCCAGCCACAGUGGCGGGUCAGGCGGAUGCUGUCCUGAGAGGCACGUGCCCAGCAGUCGGUUGCAGCGUCCUGCCCCCUCGUCCUGUGAGUCCAGCGUGUCUGGAAUGAGGAUGAUCCCUCAACAGUUGUGCACAGCAGGCUCCAUGGCUCCUCUGCAGGACCUGGGAAGAGACUGCCCUCGUUCGUCCUGAGCACAAUGCCACAUCCCUGUGAACAAGACAACUUCAUGGUGCUCCAGAAGUGACAGGGUUGUCACAAGUCUCCCCUCCACAAGCUGACCUCUGAACCCACCAAAGAGCAUGGCAGUCAGCCUACAAAGGAGGCUUUAGGCAGCGAUGGAAACCAGGCCGAAAGCGGAGAGAGAACCAUAAUUUCCGAGCCAUCGCACUGUCCUCUCUGAGGCACACAAAACCCAGUCAUCCCUAUUUACCAACCACUCAAUACAAAGCAUUCCCACACUUAAAUGGGAGGGCCUGCCUUCAUCAUCACGAAAACCAGGGUAAUGGGAGGCAGGCUGUCCUCAGGUUUACGACUGGAAAACGGAAAAUCCAACACAGAGAUCGUGGUGUCAGCGGCACUCUAGACAAAGGUCGUGCAUCUUUUCAAGUCGCCGCAGAAUCCUCCCAGUCAGAAGUGGCCCCAGUCCACACUGCCUGAGGCAUCAGAGACGGGACUGAGUGGUCCGGCGUUUCAUAAAGCCCUCCCCUGAGGCAGAACGCCGCCCUUUACCUUCCUGGACACGAUGGGGGAGCGGGGGUGAGUGGCGCACACUGUGGGCACCAAAGACAGACGUGAAAGGGUUUUGCUACAGAACUGCAGUGACAUAAAUCUGGUGCCAACUCUAGGCAUUUAAAGGAAAAAUGCAGCUCCCACAGAUCUGGAAUUAAUACAGAUUUUCAUAUGUUUGAGGUUCAACUGAGGCAGAUGACACCCUCACGAGGCAUCUCCCUUAGUGUUCAACUGCAGAAUCCAAACAGCCCUCUGGGGAGUUCCCGUCGUGGAACAAUGGAAACAAAUCCGACUAGGAACCCUGAGGUUGCGGGUCUGAUCCCCGGCCUCGCGCAGUGGGUUAAGGAUCUGGCGUUGCCGUGAGCUGUGGUGUAGGUCGCAGAUGCGGCUCAGAUCCUGUGUUGCUGUGGCUGUGGUGUAGGCCGGCAGCUGUACCUCCAAUUCGACCCCACGCCUGGGAACCUCCAUAUGCCACAGGCGCAGCCCUAAAAAAAGC